rnacentral:rRNA from 1 species
CUGGCUCAGGAUGAACGCUAGCGGCAGGCUUAACACAUGCAAGUCGAGGGGCAUCGGGAGUAGCAAUACUUGCCGGCGACCGGCGCAAGGGUGCGUAACGCGUGAGCAACAUGCCCGUAUCAGGGGGAUAAUCCAUGGAAACGUGGUCUAAUACCCCAUAGUAAUUAUGUAAGGCAUCUUAUAUAAUUUAAAGCUUUGGUGGAUACGGAUUGGCUCGCGUGACAUUAGCUGGAUGGUAAGGUAACGGCUUACCAUGGCUACGAUGUCUAGGGGUUCUGAGAGGAAGGUCCCCCCACACUGGAACUGAGACACGGUCCAGACUCCUACGGGAGGCAGCAGUGAGGAAUAUUGGACAAUGGAUGGAAAUCUGAUCCAGCCAUGCCGCGUGCAGGAAAGACGGCCCUAUGGGUUGUAAACUGCUUUUGUAUGGGAGCAAUAAGGGCUACGUGUAGUCCGAUGAGAGUACCAUACGAAUAAGCACCGGCUAACUCCGUGCCAGCAGCCGC